rnacentral:rRNA from 1 species
AUUGAACGCUGGCGGCAUGCCUUACACAUGCAAGUCGAACGGCAGCACGGGUGCUUGCACCUGGUGGCGAGUGGCGAACGGGUGAGUAAUACAUCGGAACAUGUCCUGUAGUGGGGGAUAGCCCGGCGAAAGCCGGAUUAAUACCGCAUACGAUCUACGGAUGAAAGCGGGGAACCUUCGGGCCUCGCGCUAUAGGGUUGGCCGAUGGCUGAUUAGCUAGUUGGUGGGGUAAAGGCCUACCAAGGCGACGAUCAGCAGCUGGUCUGAGAGGACGACCAGCCACACUGGGACUGAGACACGGCCCAGACUCCUACGGGAGGCAGCAGUGGGGAAUUUUGGACAAUGGGCGAAAGACUGAUCCAGCAAUGCCGCGUGUGUGAAGAAGGCCUUCGGGUUGUAAAGCACUUUUGUCCGGAAAGAAAUCCUUGGCCCUAAUACGGUCGGGGGAUGACGGUACCGGAAGAAUAAGCACCGGCUAACUACGUG